rnacentral:misc_RNA from 1 species
GAUGAAGAACGUAGCGAAAUGCGAUAAGUAAUGUGAAUUGCAGAAUUCAGUGAAUCAUCGAAUCUUUGAACGCAUCUUGCGCUCCUUGGUAUUCCGAGGAGCAUGCCUGUUUGAGUGUCAUCAAGUUCUCAAACUGCAUCCAUUUGAAGGGUGUGGAUUUGGAUUAUGGAGUUUGCAGGCUCUUUGAUUGAGGUCUGCUCCUCUGAAAUGUAUUAGUGGCGAUGUGGAAAAGCUACUGUGGGUGUGAUAAAUAUCUAUGCUUUAUGCAGUGUUCUGCUAUGCCGCUUGCAGGGAGAAAUUUCAUUUUUGACAAACUUGACCUCAAAUCAGGUAGGACUACCCGCUGAACUUAAGCAUAUCAAUAAGCGGAGGA